CCUACGGGAGGCAGCAGUCGAGAAUCAUUCACAAUGGGGGAAACCCUGAUGGUGCGACGCCGCGUGAAGGAAGAAGGCUUUCGGGUUGUAAACUUCUUUUAAGAGGGAAGAGCAGAAGACGGUACCUCUUGAAUAAGCCACGGCUAACUACGUGCCAGCAGCCGCGGUAAUACGUAGGUGGCAAGCGUUGUCCGGAUUUACUGGGUGUAAAGGGCGUGCAGCCGGGAAGACAAGUCAGAUGUGAAAUCCCGCGGCUCAACCGCGGAACUGCAUUUGAAACUGUUUUUCUUGAGUACCGGAGAGGUCAUCGGAAUUCCUUGUGUAGCGGUGAAAUGCGUAGAUAUAAGGAAGAACACCAGUGGCGAAGGCGGAUGACUGGACGGCAACUGACGGUGAGGCGCGAAAGCGUGGGGAGCAAACAGGAUUAGAUACCCCUGUAGUC
rnacentral:rRNA from 1 species